GAGGGUUUAGCUCAGUGGCAUAAGCGCAUGCCUGGCAAGCAUGACGUCGUGAGUUCAGUCCUCA
rnacentral:tRNA from 1 species